CCUACGGGGGGCAGCAGUGGGGAAUAUUGGGCAAUGGGCGCAAGCCUGACCCAGCCACGCUGCGUGAAGGAAGAAGGCUUUCGGGUUGUAAACUUCUUUUCACAGGGACGAAGAAAGUGACGGUACCUGAGGAAUAAACCACGGCUAACUACGUGCCAGCAGCCGCGGUAAUACGUAGGGGGCAAGCGUUAUCCGGAUUUACUGGGUGUAAAGGUCGUGUAGGCGGGAAAACAAGUCAGAUGUGAAAACCAUGGGCUCAACCUGUGGCCUGCAUUUGGAACUGGUUUGCUUGAGUACUGGAGAGGCAGACGGAAUUCCUGGUGUAGCGGUGAAAUGCGUAGAGAUGAGGAGGAACACCAGUGGCGAAGGCGGUCUGCUGGACAGCAACUGACGCUGAGGCGCGAAAGCGUGGGGAGCAAACAGGAUUAGAUACCCCAGUAGUC
rnacentral:rRNA from 1 species